UACAGAGGUCUCAAGCGUUGUUCGGAUUCAUUGGGCGUAAAGGGUGCGUAGGUGGCAUGGUAAGUCGGAUGUGAAAUCCCGGGGCUCAACCCCGGAACUGCAUUCGAUACUGCUGCGCUAGAGUACUGGAGAGGAGAUUGGAAUUUACGGUGUAGCAGUGAAAUGCGUAGAUAUCGAAAGGAAGACCAGUGGCGAAGGCGGAUCUCUGGACAGUUACUGACACUGAGGCACGAAGGCCAGGGGAGCAAACGGG
rnacentral:rRNA from 1 species